CCUACGGGUGGCUGCAGUGAGGAAUAUUGGUCAAUGGACGCAAGUCUGAACCAGCCAUGCCGCGUGCAGGAAGACGGCUCUAUGAGUUGUAAACUGCUUUUGUACGAGGGUAAACGCAGAUACGCGUAUCUUUCUGAAAGUAUCUUACGAAUAAGGAUCGGCUAACUCCGUGCCAGCAGCCGCGGUAAUACGGAGGGUUCAAGCGUUAUCCGGAUUUAUUGGGUUUAAAGGGUGCGUAGGCGGUCGGAUAAGUUAGAGGUGAAAUCCCGAGGCUCAACUUCGGAAUUGCCUCUGAUACUGUACGGCUAGAGGGUAGUUGCGGUAGGCGGAAUGUAUGGUGUAGCGGUGAAAUGCUUAGAGAUCAUACAGAACACCGAUUGCGAAGGCAGCUUACCAGGCUACAUCUGACGUUGAGGCACGAAAGCGUGGGGAGCAAACAGGAUUAGAUACCCCGGUAGUC
rnacentral:rRNA from 1 species